AUUGGACACAUGGGAGUCUGCAGCAUGGGGCAAAAUAACGCAAGUGCCACCCCCCAGAAUUUGCCUUCCCUUUGAUUUUAAUCAAUCAUAACACACAUACAGAUACACACACUACACAAAUACAGAUACACUACACACACAGACAGAUACACACACUACACACAGAUACACACACGUCACACACAGAUACAGACACUACAAAUACAU